rnacentral:sRNA from 1 species
UAUGUACGUAAUAUAAAAUAUCAAACAGUGCUGCAUGGUUUGUUAUCAAAAUAGUUCUUACCCUCAUUUGCCCCACCUUGGAGGCAACCACUUUCAACUCUUGUAGCUGUUUUUUUCAAAUUCUACCCCCAAAUCUUGAAAUAACCUGCAUAUAUGCUACUUCUUGAUUUUUUUGGUUUUAUGAAUUUUUUAUUGAGUUUCCAUUAAGGAAGACAAAGGUUUGGCUCUUUCCCCUUCAUCCCCUACCUCAUGACCCACAUACUUCCCCCAUCUUCCCAGGGUCAUUGGAUCAUUAUUUUGGUUAGACCAAUAUUUACCAUUUACUUAUAUUAUUUUUUGAGACAGGGUCUCCCCCUGUUGCCCAGGCUGGAGUGCAGUGGCGUGAUCAGGCUCACUGCAGCCUCAGCCUACAGGCUCAAGCAGUCCUCCUGCUUCAGCCUCCUAAUAGCUGGGACCACAUGCGGGUGCCAUCACACCUGGCUAAUUUUUAAAAUUUUAGUAGAGACGGGGUCUCCCUUUGUUUCCCAGGCUGGUCUCGAACUCCUGGGCUCAAGUGCUCCUCUUGCUUCAGCCUCCCAACAUGUUGGGAUUACAGGUGUGAGCCACCACAUCCAGCCACCAUUUACAUUAUUAGUUCUGAUCCAUUUAGACCAGCAUUUUUCAAAGGGAGAGAGUUCCAUGGAAUACAUUUCCACAAGACAUCAGUAGGGGUAGGUCUAUGGUCCAAUACGUUUGGGAAACACCAAAUUAAAGUUAAAACAAUGGUUCCUUCCUGUAUUACUCAUCAGAGCCUUUAAUAGGCAAAUGUGCCUCAGGAGGGACAUGGGGAUGUGGAGGUUCAAUGCUUCCCCAACUUUGGCCAUGAAACCCUUCUUGUACAGAUUUUCAGUGGAACACAGUUUGGGAAACAUUGUUUUAGACUUAUCAUCUCGCAGGUCAAGACUUUGCAAAGUUAGAGACUCUUUAGCUUCUGUCAUAAUCCCUCAUUUGGAGAGUGAGAAGAUAAUGAAACUGGGAAGGAAUGAAACUGCUGGUGGGGCUGGGAGCGGUGGCUCACGCCUGUAAUCCCAGCACUUCCGGAGGUCGAUGUGGGCAGAUCACCUGAGGUCGGGAGUUCGAGACCAGCCUGGCCAACAUGGUGAAACCCUGUCUCUACUAAAAAUACAAAAAAAUUAGCCAGGCAUGGUGGUGGGCACUUGUAGUCCCAGCUACUCAGGAGGCUGAGGCAAGAGAAUCACUUGAACCUGGGAGGCGGUGGUUGCAGUGAGCCAAGAUUGCCUCACUGUACUCCAGCCUGGGCAACAGAGCAAACUCCAUCUCAAAACAAAACAAAAAAAACAAAAAUCAAAAAUUAAAAAACAAAAAACUGCUGAUGGGCUGGGUGUGAUGGCUCACUCCUGUAGUCCCAGCACUCUGAGACGAUUCCAUGAGCCCAGGAGUUUGAGGCUGCAGGGAGCUAUGAUGGUGCCACUGCACUCCAGCUUGGGCAUCAGAGUGAGACCUUAUCUCAAAAAUAAAUAAAUAAAGGGAAGGAAAGGAAGAAGAAAAUAAAAACUGCUGGUGGAUGAACAACAGCCUCAUUCAGUUGACUUCUUUUUCCUUCACAAAGACUGACUGGAGCUCUCCCGUGUCAGCUCGUAGCACAGAAGGUGAAGAGCCUGCUGUGGGGCCAGGGCUUCCCAGAUUACGUGGCCCCUUUUGGAAAUUCCCAGGCCCAGGACAUGCUGGACUGGGUGCCCAUCCACUUCAUCACCCAGUCAUUCAACAGGAAGGUAAAGGGGAGAAGGUACAGGUUCCAUGCUAGCGGUCUCUCUCUUCCAGGUGGUGUGAUGAAGGCAACUGGGGAAGCCAGCUGUUAAGGAGGCAGGAUGGCCCUGAGUGGGAGUGCGGGCUGAAUCUUGGAUACUGAUUUUUGCCCCUUGUUAGCAAUGUUGCCUCUGGCCAGCAGUUUUAUGGCUUUGAGCCUCUGUUUUCAUCUGUGAAAUGGGAACGCUAGUCAAUAGUGAGUGAAUGGCCUCAUGGGGCAUUGAGAGGGUUAAGUGAGGUAACGUUUAUGUGGCCCUGGGCAUGGUGCCUAGUGGUCCAUAAAUGGGAACCACUGUGAUCCUCAUCCUGUUGCUACCAUCAUUGUGAUUGUUGGUGUCCCCCGAGCCCUCUCCAGGCAUCUCAUGACACAAUAGACGAAUGUUGAGUCCUGUAUCAAAGACUGAGACUUCCUUAUGUGCACGUGGCUGUCCCACCCAUUGUCCCCUGGUCUACACAGGCAGCCCACACCUGAGAGUUUUCACUGCCACAGUUCCUCACAGAGUUGAAUGGAAGUUGACAAUCCUACAGAUAGGUUCCCGGUCACAUGUGAUGCUUCUGCCCACCUUUUUCUUUUGUCUUAGCAGUCAGUGUGUGGGCUGGCCCUGGCCCAGAGGCGUGCUCUCCAUCUUAGCCUGUAAUUGCCCAGCUUGUUCUUGUCACGCUUUCUUCAGACCUCUCAUUAUCUGCUCCGAAUAUUUCUAGCAUGGGCAUAACGGGGGUGAGGACUGCUCACUUCUCUGAUCCGCCCUCCCACCGAGGCCAGCAGAGACCCGGGAUUACUCAGUCCCUGCUGUUCCACUGCAAAGUCUUGGCUCAGCUCUCCCACCAGAACCAGGCACAUCGCUUCUGGCUUCUUGGCCAUGGGUGAAGACAUGCAGUUAUUACUCCUCUUCAGAAGGGAAGACACGGGUUGGGAGGAGAGGCAGCAGUGCGCACAUGGCACCGUCAGGGUCUGUGCUGAUCCUGGGUGCUCAGAGGGCCUGCAGCAGCGGGUUUUAUACCAACUCUGCCGGCAACCCAGGUAGAGGCAGGCACGAGCACCUGCUAAACUCAGUUUCCACCAGCUGCAUGCUGCAUUGUCUCCUAAGAACAGGAUAUUCAAGAGGAUUGUUCAGCCUGCGUGGUUUUUAAAGGCAGUUCCAAGCUAAGGAAUUCCAUCAGUGCUUUUUUCGCAGCCACCAAAUUUAGCAGGCCUGUGAGGUUUUCAUAUCUUGAAGAGAUGUAUUUUAAAGCUUUUUUUUUUUUUUAAUGAAAAAAUGUCAGACACACAAAAAAGUAGAAUAGUACCAUGGAGUCCCCACGUACCCAGCCUGCAGCUUCAACAGUUACCACAUUUGCCAACUGGAGAGACUGCCAAGGCAGGAAAAGCCCUGGAAGGCCCACGGCCCCUUUUUCCCUUGGGUCAGAGGCCUUAGAGCCGGCUGCCAAAGCAGCCAACCAAAGGGGAAGCUCAGCUCCUUUAUGGCACCAGCAGCAUUCCUGAUGCAGAUGAAGAGUUGAUGUCUUUGACAACAUACGGACACUGCCUGGAUACCCAGAUGUCACAUCUUAAUUGCCAAUUGAUGAAAUUAGAUAAAUGAGAAGAAAGCACUUAAAUUUCCCCUCAGAGUAUUUUAACAUGACACGCAAUCAGGUUUUAUUUGUCUGCUAAUAAUUAUUUCUCCCCCUCCAUCCCUCCCACCAGUUUCUUUCCUGAAGUCUGUGAGGCAGGUAUAAACAGGUAGAUGAAGUUAGAGCAGUUAUGGCCCUAAAGGGUCCACAGUUGGGUAUCGGCACUACCACAGUUUCAGGUGAUGUCGGCCUUUUCAGAAAUAGGAGGAGAUGGAAAAAUUACACUUCAGCUGUUAAAAAUAUUUUUGGGGCAUUGAGUUACUUUAAAACACGUACAUUCUCUAAGCUGUUUUUAUCUGAACUUGUAGAGUCUAUUCAUUUUCUUGUUCAGAACAUUUUGUAAUAUGUGAAACCUUUUAUAAUUAAAACUCUGAACUGCAGGAUUCUAAUGGAUUAACAGCAUUUUGUUUUGCAGGAUUCCUGCCAGCUGCCAGGGGCUUUGGUUAUAGAAGUGAAGUGGACUAAAUACGGAUCCUUGCUGAAUCCACAGGCCAAAAUAGUCAAUGUAACUGCAAAUCUAAUUUCAUCCUCCUUUCCUGAGGCCAACUCAGGAAAUGAAAGGACGAUUCUUAUUUCCACUGCGGUUACUUUUGUGGAUGUGUCUGCACCUGCAGAGGCAGGCUUCAGAGCUCCGCCAGCCAUCAAUGCCAGGCUGCCCUUUAACUUCUUCUUCCCGUUUGUUUGACAAUGCUCAGAUGCAUCAGUUCCUUAAUAUACACAUGAAAUUUGAAAACUGUACAUUCGAUGAGAUUAAAUUUUAUAUACAACU